rnacentral:rRNA from 1 species
UACGGAGGGUGCAAGCGUUGUCCGGAAUCACUGGGCGUAAAGGGCGCGUAGGCGGCUCAUGAAGGCUGUGGUGAAAGUCCGGGGCUCAACCUCGGAUCGGCCGUGGCGACUCGUGGGCUGGAGCACUGUAGAGGCGGGUGGAAUUCCGGGUGUAGCGGUGGAAUGCGUAGAUAUCCGGAAGAACACCAGUGGCGAAGGCGGCCCGCUGGGCAGUGGCUGACGCUGAGGCGCGAAAGCGUGGGGAGCAAACAGG